rfam:Brachypodium distachyon strain Bd21 chromosome 3, whole genome shotgun sequence.
CAGAUACUCCUUCCGUCCCAUAUUAAGUGACUCAAAUUUGUCCAAAUAUGGAUGUAUCUAUACCUAAAAAGCAUCUAGAUACAUGUAAUAUUUCAACACCUAAUAUGGGACGGAGGGAGUACAUU